rnacentral:lncRNA from 1 species
UGUCACUUCAAAAGACAAAGAUUCAGAACUAGAUGUUUAUUUUACUUGUAAGCCACUGGGUCAAUACAAAUAUUUCAAAACAAGCAAAAGUGGUUACCAUGAAUCUCACCAGACCUGGAAAGGUCAUGGUAACUUCCCUAUAGACAGGACCUUUCUCCUAAAUCACAUCCAGCCCUGAAACUUCCCCAAAAUUCAAACUUUAACUCCUUUGCGUCUCACCAGUCAGUAAUCCCAAGGUGGCUAUUACCAAAGCCACAGUAAAGCCUUGUACCUUCAUUCUUUACCUUUUGCCCCAGUUACUAGGGAUCAUCACGCAUAGAAGCCGACACCAGGAUGUUUUAGAGCAAGAAAGGCACAUCUUAGUGGUAUCAGGAGUGAGAGCAAUUCAUGAAAGGAAGAUGCCUAAGACAGUCCUUUAGCCCCUCAAAGAUCCAAACUCUCAAGUCUCAUACAUGGAAGGAGCUGUGCAGU